UUGCUCCCUGAUGUUAGCGGCGGACGGGUGAGUAACACGUGGGUAACCUGCCUGUAAGACUGGGAUAACUCCGGGAAACCGGGGCUAAUACCGGAUGGUUGUUUGAACCGCAUGGUUCAGACAUAAAAGGUGGCUUCGGCUACCACUUACAGAUGGACCCGCGGCGCAUUAGCUAGUUGGUGAGGUAACGGCUCACCAAGGCAACGAUGCGUAGCCGACCUGAGAGGGUGAUCGGCCACACUGGGACUGAGACACGGCCCAGACUCCUACGGGAGGCAGCAGUAGGGAAUCUUCCGCAAUGGACGAAAGUCUGACGGAGCAACGCCGCGUGAGUGAUGAAGGUUUUCGGAUCGUAAAGCUCUGUUGUUAGGGAAGAACAAGUGCCGUUCAAAUAGGGCGGCACCUUGACGGUACCUAACCAGAAAGCCACGGCUAACUACGUGCCAGCAGCCGCGGUAAUACGUAGGUGGCAAGCGUUGUCCGGAAUUAUUGGGCGUAAAGGGCUCGCAGGCGGUUUCUUAAGUCUGAUGUGAAAGCCCCCGGCUCAACCGGGGAGGGUCAUUGGAAACUGGGGAACUUGAGUGCAGAAGAGGAGAGUGGAAUUCCACGUGUAGCGGUGA
rnacentral:rRNA from 2 species